GAACAGAACUGGCAAGCGCCACUCGGAGAAGUUGGAAGCCCAGCACGGUCAAGACACGUGUCCGACACGAUCUGUUCUGUGAAAUAGCCGAGGGAAAGUCCAGGAAAAUGAGUCCGGAAAAAGUGUCAUCCACCACAUCCCCGAAUCGUAAAAGCUUAAAGCCUGUCAUGGAAAGGAAGAGACGAGCCAGGAUAAACGCUAGUUUGGCGGAACUGAAGUCUUUGCUCAUCGAAGUCAUCAAGACUGAGGGAACAAGGCAGAAUAAACUAGAGAAAGCCGAUAUUCUUGAAAUGACGGUCCGCCAUUUGAAAACAGUGCACAAAAACAAAAGUAUGUGUAUGUGCACUUUAUUCAAUGAUCUUUUAUGAACUUUAAACACAUUCCCUACGUCCACUAGGCGUAUACAUGUACAUGUAUUAUCUUAUUUUUUGUCAUUUUAGCUACCGACGGAAAGGAAGUGUCUAGAAUAAACAAGUAUCGACUUGGAUUUAGCGAAUGUGCUACCAAAGUCAGUCAGUAUCUGGAGAAUACCGACGGUGUCGAGACUGACUUCCGGUCCCGUCUGCUGAAUCAUCUUACUACUGUCACCAUGUCCUCAGAUCAAGAUUCCGAAAAUUCCGAUUCCCAAAUCCCGUUAAUGCCCAAUCAACAAAUGCAGGAUCGGAUACACCAGGCACGUCCAAAUCAAAACAUCACUGCAAACGUUGAUAGCACUAACUCUGUGAUGACAACGAAUCAAUCAGUUGAAACCCAAAACGAGGCAAACCAAAGAGUGAAUGGUAAAACUUGUAACGCCAUUGAAUGGUCGUCAGUUCAGAAUCAGAACAACAUGGCGAGUAACUUGGUGUACAACACACAGUCUGCCAAUGUUAGUGCUGCUUCUGGACAAGUUGCAUACCUCGUUCCUGCUUCCGGCGUUUUACAGUACAACAACGCCCCCGUCCCGUGCUCUAACGUUUUCAUCCGCCUUGUCCAGCCCAUCAAUAUCAAUACUUCCCCUGCUCCCUGCCGUUCUCCUUUUGUUGUUACUACCAGUUCCUCGAGCCCUGCUUAUGUGAAUCAACCGACCAUUGCGAACUUGCAACCCGAGCAAAAGUUGACUUUUCUGCCGCAGACUGUUCCUCGAAUCAAUGACAGAGUUGCCUUCGAGAGUACAGAUUCAGUACAACGUUUGAAUAAUUUGACAAGCAAUCUGGGCCAAAACAAAACGACAUUUUCCUUGUCUUCCACCCAAUUCGGCCAAAAUGACUCUGACAUUACUAAAGAAAUAACCAGCAAAGAAUCAAAAGGAACUGACAUGUGGAGGCCAUGGUGAAAAAACGAACACAUAUUUAUAAAUAAAUCUUUUAUAUAUUC
rnacentral:misc_RNA from 1 species